GCCCUUCUUCUCAUCUCAUGCUCACUGUCGGAUCGGCUCGCUACUGCUGCUCCCGACUGCACGCAAGGCUUCAGUAUUAGUGCUCGUUUGAAAGCAGUUUCAUUUGUUGUUGAACUACAAACAAAAUGCCUGUCAGUGGUGUGCGUGUGUGCUCCCCAGCCGGUUUGCCUUCAAUUCAGAGGAAUGGUGGCAGUUACUCUUGAGCCAACCCACAGCUCCUCAGCCACUUUCUUGAGAGCUCUCCAGUCCUGGUGAAUCACUAUGGUCCCUUGGAGUCUGCCUGGCUAAGGGAGCCCCCUGUAUGCUAUUAUCCCCUGCUCCGCUGCAUCAGAGCUGGUAACCAUCUAGGGAAAUAUGAAAACAAGGACUGAUCAUCAUCGUUGUCAUCGCGUUGGUCACUGUCCUCAUCAACGGAACAAUGCCCAACGGCCCACCUCUACUGAAGAGCAAUGACUGAACCAUGAACCACAUUGGACCCAUGGUGUUCUGAAGCUUCCAGCAAAUUUGCCAGGAGUGAUCUGCCCUCACUGAAGACAUGUUGGCUUCACCAAUCAUUUCUGUGUUCUUCAUAUGCCUCAGUACAUCUUCCAGAGGUAGCUACUCCAUGAUCUUGUCAGGUACAGAGGUUGCUUGUCCCUUCUUCCACAGGAGAUAGAUUCUCUUUUUGUCCUGGAGCCUCAAGAAUAGUUCCCUAUUCAUCCAUGCCAGUCUUCUUCCACGCCGGCUCGUUUUGCGGCUCAAGGGGACAGCCUGCUCCUGCACCUUUAAGGCUUCCUCCUUGAAGAGCAACCAGCCAUCUUGGGCCCCUUUACUCUCUAAGAUUGAAUGCUAGAGAGUACAUUCAGUACCUGGGGCCAGGGGAGCUCCGGCAAAGUUUAAUUUUUGUGGUUCUAAGAAGCUGAAAUAUUCCUGUGAAAGGAUUGUCAGUUCUUGUAGAAAAGUAGAGGUUAUUCUUCUAGUUCUGAACCACUGUUUCCUUAAAAAAGGAGAAUGUACAGGAUAUUAUUGUACACUGUACUCUAAAGGUGCAUAGAUGGUAGAAAAGUUUCCUUCUAAAUUUAUUGGAAAGUUCUGUGUAUUAAUUUCACUAAUGCUUUGCACAUGGUCUGAGCUAAUUUGUCACCUUUCUCUGUUCAUCCUACAGCUACUAAAAAUGUCUAUGAACAAGAUCACUAGACAUGGGGACUUCAGUUGUGCUGUUUUUUCAUCCUUCAUUUGUACUUUACAUUUAGUCCAACUAUUGCAG